ACAAGCUGUAAAAUACAUUAAACAAAUACAUCUGAAAAUAUUGUUUUCGGAAUCCGAAACCCGCAAAACCCUUCAUCCCGAGUCUACUCAUUUUAGCAUAAGUGAAAAGUGAAUGACUUUUUAAAAAUAAAAACAAUUUUGCUAAGGCAGGAAUAUUCAUCUUAACUGGCUACGCUAAACAUGGGAGAGAAGAGGUCCAAAAUGAAUCUAUUAAAAAGACAUUCACACGCUACACUACCACACCGGAAUACACACUGCAAUACAAAACUCUGCAAUACACUACACUGAACUACACUGCAACCUGAAAUACGCUCCACUAUAUACACUGCUAUAAACGUAUAUUACACUAUACUACACACUACACACUAGUACUUUGUGUAAGACUCCCUGGUACACGUUCAAUGUAACGGAGUACACUUAUCAAUACUUUGGCGAAGAGGUUAAAAAAUUAUCACGGGCAGCAUCUUUGUCAAUAUCAGGUCGGAAAAGGAGUGAUGGAUCAAACGGCUGUGUACAGCAUGUCAAUUUCUUACACAUUUGUGAAUAUUUAUUCGUAUUUGUAUUCACAUAAUAAAUAUAUUUUUUACA